CGGCCGGCCGGCCGGACUCACCAAACUCGAUCGGGGACGGGAAGCGUGAGGGCCCGGAUGCCGGCGCACCUAGCCCGCAGGGAGCCAUCAGCGAUGACCUUGUAGCAGUCCCGCAGGCAGAGGGACUCCAGGCGCGGGCAGCCGUCGAGGACGGCCACCAGCUCGUCGUUGCUGAUGUUGCUGCUGACGAGGGUGAGGCUCCGCAGCCCGGUCAUGGCCGCGAUCCCGAGCGCCUCCGCGGUGCGCCGGGAGUAGUUGAGCGAGAACCUGAAGCACUCCCUGCGCAGGCGGAAGCGCGCCAGCCGCGGGCAGGCUCGGCCGGCGCACUCCAGCACGUGGCGGCCGCCGACGUUCGGGCAGAGCUCCAGCGAGAGGUCCUCCAGCUUGGGCGCGUUCGUGACCAGGUCGGUGAACCCUUUGUUGGUGACCUCGGGGCACGACACAAGGCUGAGGCUCCUCAGACACGCGGACCUGCAGCAAGGAGUUGUUGGUUGUAGUUGAGACUUGAGAGAGGGGAAUUAGAUUAGAUUAGAUGGUGUGGUGAGAGUAACAAUCAGAUUAACAGGGUAUGUACCUGCCCGAUAUGUAGUUGAGAAGAUCGUCGGUGACGAAGUGCUUCCCCGAGAAGACCUCCAGCCGGCCCCUGGAGCGGCCCACGGCCACCCUGGCCAUUCCGCGCAGGACGUCGCCGCCCAUCUCCUCCACCGCCCUGUGGCUCGCCAUGUCCAGGGACGCCCACAGCUCCGGCUCCUUGGCCGCCUGGAGCCACGAGCGGCACACGAGGCCCGAGCCCAUGAGGAUCUCCACAGGGCCAAGCCUGCCGAAGACCAGCACCAGCGCGUCCAGGGACAGCUCCGACCAGUCCCUGCCGUUUGCCACCGUCGGCGCAGGCUCGCAGGGAGGCCCUGCCUCCAUUCUUGUUCCUUUAGCAACAGCCCAACAGCGACACCUGGGAACGAGAAGGGGACCAGUAGUUCGUUAGCUGCUUUGCCGCCUUAGGAUGCUUGUUACGAGGCACGAAUCGAGAACAGAUCGACCGUAAGUAUGUAUAGCUCCGGCCAAAGCUGUCGCCGUCGUCGUCGUCGAGCUCGGGGUGAGCGAGUGACUAAGGAGGUGUUUGGUUUGAGAAAUCACUCUAUCCAAAAUGUGGCGGUGCAUCAUGGGUCC
rnacentral:misc_RNA from 1 species